rnacentral:lncRNA from 1 species
GCCAUUUAUUAACACAAAGUUGAAAGAAAGCAGGCAAGGUGGAAUUUCUAAAUAUAAGCUUCAAUGACAGAUUGAACAGCAUGAAUGGGUUUUACAUCGAUUCUGGUGAAUCCAGCCUGUCCAAGAACAUACGUCCAUUCCUUUAAGGUCCUUUCUUUGCCUUUGUUCGUAUGUGUCAUCAUCACCAUGUCCAACAUCAACCCCACAAAUUCUAGCUUGUCAUUUUCAUCUUCUUCAAGCACAGAUUCAACAAUUAUGACCUUCCCUUUGUCUUGUGGGAUGGCUUCUCUACAUUUCUUUAGGAUUUGUAUGCAUUCCUCAUCACCCCAGUCAUGCAACACCCACUGCAAUUCACAAAUAGAUAGAUUUGUCAUACUCAAAUGUAAUUGGUAAAGGAAACAAAGUUUUCAUUACUAACCAUAAAGAAAGCAGCGUCAGCCUUUGGGACGCACUCGAACAUGUCCCCUCCAACGUAUUCGAUGCCAUCGACUUUUGGGGCAACGGCAACAACACGGGGAAGAUCGAAGUCGAUGCCAUGAAUCCAAGGGAAUGCCUUUACCAACAUAGAUAAAGCAGUCCCAUUGCCUCCACCAACAUCAACCAAACUUUUAAUGCCAUCAAACACUUGAGGACAUCCUUCGAUUAUGGCUCGCACUGCCACUCUAGCAUCACAAGCCAUUGCUUCGUCUAUGAGUUUGCUAUGUCCAGGGUUCUCCUCUGCAUAGCUCCAUACAUCCUUUCCGUGUGCUGUCUCAAAAGGUGAAUUCCCACUGUCAAGGACACGAGCAGUUAGACUAUGCCAUGGUGCUAACGUAACAGGACUGCUCUGUAGUAGAAUCAUAGCCGCCAUGCUCCUUUCGCCAUGUCGACUCAAUCGACGAGACAAAGGCGCCAGUGCAAAACCAAUGGAAUCUUUAGUUAUGGGCUCCUCUUUGAAUAUUUGGUAGUGGACCAAGAACCUCAUAAUACGAUAAAGACGAGAUGGUUGACACUUGAGGGUAGUGGUUAGCUGAGAGAGUGUCAUGGGGCUUCCAUGCUUGUCAAUUGCAUCAGCAAUCCCAAGCUCAAUGGCACAUUUAACUACUGCUAUCUUAACAUGACCAAAUACAUAAUUCCAAAUCUCUACUUCUGCUUUCUCAUCUUCAUCUUCUUUCUUUCCUCUCACUUUUAUAUCUCCCAUCUCAGUGCUUCUCUCUUUGAACACUUGGAAAACCCCAAACCGAAAUCUUGAUGGACAAAGCCUUUGUUGAAGCUCCAUUAUAUAGGAGCAAUAAAUCAUUUCUAACAAUGAUAAAUUUAGAUUUCCUAUAAAAUGCUUUUGGUAAUAUAAUAUUUUCUUUAAGAUCUUAUAAGAUCUAAUGACGGGCCAUUACUUGCCAUUAUAUAUAAAGAAUUGUCGAGUUUACUAUCGUUUUGUGAUAAUCAUAAUUCACGUUGGAAUAUUACUGUCUAUUACCCCCCACACAUUAAUGGUUAAAUAAAUGGAUUAUAAAAACAGUCAUGUUUAUGAUGUGAUUUGCUAAACUUUUUUUGGUGCGUUAAUGCAACUGUCUGUUUCUCCGAAUGUUAAAUGUGGGAUUUAGUGUAUUAUAAGUCUUUGCUUUAUUUUGAAUAUCGGUUGUGAAAUUGUGAUUCCACGUUUUCUUUAUCUUUUUACAAUUAGAAAAUAAUCAAUCAAAAUUUUUUUUCACUCCUCAAAAGAUUCAAACCUAAUUAAAAAUGUUAAAAGUAUCUAUUAUUCUCCUAUUAAAAAUAAAUAAAUUAUUAUAUUCAGGGUUGAUUCAUUAGACAAUGUCCGUACUAUCUGCAAAUAUUACGGGAGUACAGCAUGGCUAUUUCCAGUCUUAGCAAAGUUGUAAUAUAAUUACUUUAUGGCUAAAGUAUAAAGAUGAUUAUGUGUUCUGUUUUGGUAACUAAAUUUUUCGAAAUUAAAAUAUUUAGUUAUCAAUGUUAUCGACCGUUUGAAAAUUGACAGUUAUUAGUCUAAUAACAAAUUUAGUUUUUUAAUAUUUACAUAUUCUAUCAAUUUGAAAAUAAAUAUAAAAUAUUUAAUAAAUUUAGCCCUCAAUGUUUACAAAAAUUAUUAUUUUAGUUCAAAUUCUAAAAAGUUCAAUGAAUUUAGCCCUCAAUAUUUACAAAAUGACAAAUUUUAUGUCUUUUUUACCCAUUGAACUAACAUCGUUUGUCAAAGCAGACCUAAAUAAAUGGAAAAAUUAAUAUUUUUUAAUUUUACUAAUGCGACAAUCCACGUGCAUGCCACGCCAUCAAUUAUUUAAAAAAUAAAAAAAAACUUUAAAAAUGUAGAAACCUAUAGAAAAUUAUUUAAAAAUUCAAAAAAUAUUUAAAAUUAAUAUAUAUAAAUUAUUAAAAGGAUAAAUUACCAAAAUAAUCAUUUAUGUUUGAAAUAUUACAUUUUAGUCACUUACAUUAUCGUGUUGUAACAUUUUAGUCAUUGAGUUGUUAAUUAAUGUUAAUGAUGUCACGGUAAGCUAACGUGACACAUUAAAUCAUCAUUUCAAACGAAAAUUUUAGAUUAAAUUUUACAAUUGAUCCCUAUAUUUUUUUUUUCAUUUUGAACAAUUUAAUUUUUUUAUUUUAUGUUAUUUAAAUUUUUUUUUCAUUCUCUUCUGAUUCUCCUUUUGUUUUCCUCCCUUCUUCAUUUCUUUUAACGUAGCUUUUCUACAUUUUCUAUUUGUUAAAACUAGUUCAUAAGCUCACCUCACUCGAAAAAAAUUAAAUUGUUCAAAAAAAUAAAAGUAUAGGGACUAGUUUUAACAAAUGGAAAACAUAGAAAAACUAUGUUAAAAAAAAUGGAGAAUGGAGGAAAAAGGAGGGAGAAGUAAAAGAGAACGAAAAAUAAAGAAAAAAAAGGAAAGUUACAAUAACAUAAAAGGAAAAAAAAUUAAAUUGUUCAAAACGAAAAAAAGAUGGGGAUUGAUUGUAUAAAUUAACCUAAAAUUUUUGUUUGAAAUGAUGAUUUAACGUGCGAUGUCAGCUUAUGGUUACACUGUUAACAAAAAUUAAUGGCUCUGUGACUAAAACGUAAUAUUUCAAACAAAAGUGACUAAAAUGUAACCUGAGGUAAACAAAAGUGACUAUUUUAAUAGUUUACCAUUAUCAAAAUUAACAUUGAUUAACUUACUUUAAUUACUAUUAAUCAUACGAGUGGAAAGUUUCAUCAUCUUCCGUUAUCUCAUAAUGCAAAAUGGUAAAUUGUGAUUUUAGACCUUUAAUUAAUUGCAAUUUAAGUCUCUAAAUCUUUAGCCAAUUAAAAAUCUAUAGCGAUAAUCAUUGUAGCUUAAUUAAGCAAUUAAUAGAAAAAUUGAAGGACCAAACUUUAAUAUUCUUUUAUACUUACGGAAAUGGGAUUCCGAAAUUAUAAUUUCCGACACCAUUAACUUUCAAGUCAUUACCGGUAGGGUAUAUAAAAUAUAAAAUAUAAAAUAUAAAAUAUACAUUAUAUUUUUCUUGCAAGAAUAUAAGAAUUUAAUAAUGGUAAGGUGGUGGUAAAUCUUAUCUAGGUUCCUGCCCUUUGUAAUGUUGGACAGGAAACUGUUAAUUUUCUUUUUCCCUUGAUAGACACUGAAACCUGAAAGUGGAAAACUUGUGAACUAAGUCACUGAAUUUUUCUGCAAUAACUUUUCAGCCACUUAUUUCUAGAUUUUAUUGCCCUUCUCAAUUUUUUCUUUUUUAUCAUAAUUAAUUUCUAUCAACAUUCAUAACAAUUCCGUUAACGCAUUUGUGACUGCAAUCUUUCACGCAACCUAAUUGGUUUGGCCAAUUGAAAACGCAACAGGAUCUAAGAUUUUAUAGUAAAACAACCCCAUGAUUACCACAAAUUAAAGAAAGCAGGCAAAUAGGGAGUUUCUAAGGAUAAGCUUCAAUGACAGAUUGUAUUGCAUGAAUAGGUUCUACAUUGAAUCUGGUGAACCCUGCCUCUCCAAGAACAUACUUCCAUUCCUUCAAUGUCCUUUCUUUGCCUUUGUUAGCAUGUGCCAUCAUCACCAUGUCUAAUAUCAACCUCACGAAAUCUAGCUGCUCUCUUUUUAUCUUCUUCCACCACCGCUUGAUCUAUUAUAGCCUCCCCUUUGUCUUCCGGGAUAGCUUCUCUACAUUUCUUUAGGAUUUUUAUGCAUUCCUCAUCAUCCCAGUCAUGUUACACCUUCUGCAAUUCACGAACAUACAUAUAUAUACGUCCUUAAAAGAGUGGGUUUGGUGGUAUAUUGUGGCGCUGAACCGAAGGAACCGAAGUUUUCAUUACUAACCAUUAAGAAAGCAGCGCCCGUCUUUGGGACACACUCGAACAUGUCUCCUCCUAUGUUUUCGACGCCAUCGACUUUUGCUGCAACAGCCACAACAUAAGGAAGAUCGAAGUGGAUGCCAUGAAUCCAAGGGAAUGCCUUUCCCAACAUUGCUAAACCAGUCCCAUUACUUCCACCAAAAUCAACCAAACUUUUAAUGCCAUCAAACACUUGAGGACAUUCUUCGAUUAUGGCUGGCACCGCCACUCUAGCUUCACAAGCCAUUGCUUCGUCUAUGAAUUUGCUAUGUCCUGGGUUCUUCUCUGCAUAGCUCCAUACAUCCUUCCCGUUUGCUGUCUCAAACGGGGAAUUCCCACUGUCAAGGACACGAGAACUUAGACUAUGCCAUGGUGCUAACAUAACAGGGCUGCUCUCUAGUAGAAUCAAAGUCGCCAUGUCGAAUCAAUCGACGAGACAAAAGUGAGUGCAAAACCAGUGGAAUUACAACUUAAAUUGUAAUAUAGUAAAGUUUACAACAAAACACUAGUAAGUAUUCUAAGGACCGUACUCAAGAAAUUGCAUAUAGGAGAAAUAUUUAUUAAAUUAAUUAUAGAAAAUAAUUACUAAUCUAAUCGAGUCAAGAAUUAGUAGUGCGAAUCCAAAUUAAUAUUUUAAUUAAAUUAAUUAAAUAAUUAUAUUAUUCUAGAUUAAGUUAUUUAUCACCCUUAGCUAAGACAAUCCUCCCGGUGUAUCUUCAUUAAGAAUUACCACUUAAGUUACCCUUCUAAUCUCUUCCUAGACAUGCAAAUACUCUUUCGGCUCCCUUGUCUCGCGGUUUGAUCAUCAUCCCUUGUAUUCUUGGACCUUAAUUGACAUCCUACACACUUAAUUAGUCCAUGUGUCACUCACGGGGCCUGAGUCGGCCUUACGGGUCAUCGAAAUGGUAGAAAAUGUGUAAAAAUAUUUAUUUUAUUAAUAUUUUAUUUCUAACCUACUAAUUCUGAAAAUGCAAUACUUAAUUAUAAAAUGCCAAGAAGACAAGCUCAUUAAGUGUAAAAAUGACCUAAAAUAACUACUACAUUUGACAUCAGGUCAAAUACCCCCAUACUUAAGUGUUUGUGUCGAAACCACUUUUUGAAUACAAAAAUAGUUUCGACUUUAAAAAAAUGAAAAUUGGAGUCACCACCGAUCUUUUAUCAAGGUGUGAUCGGAUCACCUAAAAACAAUUUUGGUCUUCGAAUUAAAACAAUGGGUUCGAGAGUCGGUUUCGACGAAGAAGGGUUAGCACCAUCGUAACGCCCAAAAUUGGUACUGAAUUGAUUAUUUAAUGUCUUAGUGUCGAAAAUUUGAAAAGAUUUUAAAAUACGAUUUUUUAAAAGAAAGUUUGAAUAAAUUAAAUUGGAUGAUAAGACCCUCUUAUUUCAAAGAAGUAAAAUGACACACCCAGUGAAUUAAGGUGCAUCAUUUUUAAUCCUCGAAACUAAGUUUGUCUUUUGACUUUUAAAACUCAUGCAUUUAAGUUUGAGAAGGAUAUUUGAUUAUUUAGGUCAAAUGAAAAAUCAGAAUUCAGUAAGUAAGAGUUCAAUUUCUCAAAAUUCCAAAUACCGAAUAUUGCCUUUAUUUUUAGAAAUCGUUAACUCAAGGUAGCAAAAUGUCAUAUCCAGUGAGUUAGGACACAACGUUUUGAAAUCCCAAGAAUAAACUUUUAUUUGAAAUUUGUACAAUUUUAUUGAAAAAGGGAUACUCGGUUAUUUGAAUUUAACGAGAAAAAUUAAAGCCCAGCAAGUUAAGGCACAAUCUUCUCGAAAAUCUUGGAUACCGAGUCUAGUUUCAUAAACUUUUGUAUAAGAAUGUAAUGUAAUUGAAUGACAACAAACGACGCAAAAUGGAUAAUUUGUAAAUAAAUCGUACAUUAAUCAAAUAAACAAUAGAUGAAUACAAACGAAUAAUACACAUAGCAAUAAUAAUCUCAAUCAUAUAUUAUGCAAAUGCUACCAAUAUCAACAUCAAGAAAAUUAAAUGAAUUAUCAAUCUAUUUUAAAAUAUAUAUAAAAAAACAAAGAAAAAAAUAAUCAAAAAAUUAAACAUACAAGAAUUCUAAAAUAAACUAUAUAUGAGUUUGAAAUAGAUUCAAAAUAGAAUUAGAAAAACAUACACUAAUAGUAUUUAUAUGAAUUUUAAAGCAAGUAUUAUAUAAGAAGGAAAUUAAAAUACAUCAAAUAAUGUACAUAUAUUAAUUUAAAAUAAGUAAUACAUAGGGCGUAAAGGAAACUUCAUGCAAACAAUAAUAUAUAAUAAUAUGCAAAAAGUAAAAUAAACUAAAUAUAUGAGGAUAUUUAAAAGAAGUAAAGUAUCUAUAUAUAGAAAUAGGUAUAAAAAAUAUAUAGUUUAAAAUUAAAUAAUAUAUAUUACGUAAGUAUAUAUAUGUAUAAUAAAAACAGUUUAAAAAGAAUAGUAAAUAAUAAGGUAAUAUAUAUAAAUAGGGAAAUAAAAAUAUAAUCAAAUAUAAUAAUAUCAAUAACAAUAAUAAAUAUUAAUAAUAAAAAUAAAAAUAUAUAAAAAUAAAUUAAUUAAUAGAAAAAAUAUCAAUCAGGACAAAAUUGGAAUGAAAACAGAAAUUCUGGGGCAAAUUUGAAAUAAAUAAAAAGGAAAAGGGUCAAAUCGAGUGCGUGAAUAACAAGAAGGGACUAAAGCGGAAAAUAUCCCCGCCCUCCAAAACGCAGCACCUUACAUGGGGCAAAUAUGAAAUCAAAGCAAAAUUUAGGGUAAAAUUAGGAAUAAAAGAGAACUUAAUUACAAAACCAUUAAAAGGCGAAAGGACCAGGGUUGUAAAUAACCCAUUUAACGAAAACACGCGGAUCCCCUAUGGAGCAGGUCGGGUCGCGCACGGGUUGCUUAUACGACGUCGUUUUGGCGCUGAGGGCUCUAACCCAAAACGGCGCCGUUUCUAAUUGUUAUUUAAAUAAAAAAAACUAUUUAAAAAAAAACAUUCUCAGAAGGAAUACUUUUUUUAAAAAAAAAAAGAAAAAGAAAAUGGGCUCUUCUCUGCUAGGGUUUUUCCCCUAGCAAUGUGACGCCACGAACAAGGUUUUCUGCCAUGGCUCCGCCACCGACAACCACCGCACAUGGCAGUCGGAGCCUCAAAAAUCCCCUUUCUCCGGCGAAUCAAAGGAUGUAUCCACUUCCUCUCAUUUUAUUUUUCUAUAUAUAUGCGUAUAAAUGGAUAAAAGAAAAGAAACAUAUUCGGGAAAACUCACCUGUUUUUUGAUUUUAUUUCAUUGCUCCUUUUUUUCUGUUUACAAUCCCUUUUCUUUCUUUUCACUUUUACAAUCAAGUCUGCUUUUUAUUGCUGAUAAUGGAAAAAGGAAAAUGUAAAAAAAAAAGCUAACUUUAAAUGCAUUAUUUGCCUUUGAUUUGCGAUUUUCUGAUUUUAUUGCUUGUUGCCAUUUUUGUUGUGCAGGUACAAGCUUGGAGGGGACGCACGCGAGCGGUGGCACAGCACGCGCGGGGGAAGGCCUGGCUGUUGAGGCGCUGGGAGCUAGAUGCUGCUAGGGUUUUUGGUUCUAUUUUUUGUUUAGGUUGGGCUUAUUGGGCUAGGGGUAUUUAGGCUAGUGGGCUAAAUUAAAUUUAGGCUUUGGGUUAGGGUUUGGGCUAGUGUAAUUGGGUAGUGAAUUUGGGCUUUAAGUUUGGGUUUGUAAAAAGAAACUGGACUGUUUUAUUAUUUUGGUUUUUAUUUUGGUGCUUAUUUAUUUAAUUGGGCCCGGGGCAAAAUUAGGUAUUAUAACUGCCCCUCUUUGCUCAUUAUCGUGUAAUUGGAAUAGAGCAAAGACUUUUAAAAAUAGUCAAUUUUUCCUAGUCAUACUUGAUCUUGGUGUUGCUCUUCCUCAAACAGCCUCAUUCCACCCUACUGCAUCUUCAGAGGUAUUGGUGCUUCGAUCCACUCCACUGUAAAAUAGGAUUUGUAGCUCUUCAAGGGAACAUUUGCUAUCUUCAGUCAGCUUCACUGCAACUUCAGAAAGAUAAAACUUGUAGCUUCCACUUGUUUCACUGUAAUUUUAAGGAAAUAAGGUCUGAUGCGAUCUACUCUACUGCAACUUCAGAGAGAUAAGAUCCAUCAUUUAAUCCGCUCCACUGCAACUUUAGGGAGAUAGGAUUGGUUUCUUUAAUCUGCUCCAGGGAGAUAAGAUUCGCUGCCUUCAACCUUAAUCUGCUCCGCUGCAACGUCAUGGAAACAAGAUUCGAUACCUUUAGCUUUAACCUGUUCCAUUGUAAUGCCCAAGAGAUAGGAUUCGCUGCCUUCAUCUUUAAUCCACUCAACUUCAGAUUUAAUCUAUUUCACUGCAACGCCAGGGAAAUAAGAUUUGCUGCCUUCAGUAUUUAUGCCAGGGAGAUAAGAUUCGCUGCCUUCAGCUUUAAUCUGCUCCGCUGCAACACCAGGGAAACAAUAUUUGCUACCUUUAGCUUUAAUCUAUUUCAUUGUAACGCCAAGGAGAUAGGAUUCGCAGCCUUCAGCUUUAAUCUGCUCCAUUUCAGCUUUAAUCUUCGCAACGCCAGGGAAACAAGAUUCGCUACCUUUAGCUUUAAUCUGUUCCACUGCAAUGCCAGAGAAAUAAGAUUCGCUAUCUUCAGCUUUAAUACCAGGGAGAUAAGAUUCGCUGUCUUCAGUUUUAAUUUGCUCCGCUGUAAUGUCAGAAAAACAAGAUCCACUACCUUUAGCUUUAAUCUGUUCCACCAAGAAGAUAGGAUUCGCUGCCUUCAGCUUUAAUCCGCUCCACUUCAGUUUUAAUCUAUUUCACUACAAUGCCAGGGAAACGAGAUUUGCUACCUUUAGCUUUAAUCUGUUUCACUGCAACGCUAGGGAAAUAAGAUUCGUUAUCUUCAACUUUAACGCCAGGGAGAUAAGAUUCGCUGCCUUCAGCUUUAAUCUGCUCCACUGUAACGCUAGGGAAAUAAGAUUCGCUACCUUUAGCUUUAAUCUGUUCCACUGUAACACCAAGGAGAUAGGAUUCGCUGCCUUCAGCUUUAAUCCACUCCACUUUAGCUUUAAUCUCUUCCAUUGCGACGCCAGGGAAAUGAGAUUCGCUACCUUUAGCUUUAAUCUGUUCCACUGCAACGUCAGGGAAAUAAGAUUCACUGUCUUCAGCUUUAACGCCAGGGAGAUAAGAUUCGCUGCCUUCAGCUUUAAUCUGCUCUGCGGCAACGCUAGGGAAAUAAGAUUCGCUACCUUUAGCUUUAAUCUGUUCCACCGUAACGCCAAGGAGAUAGGAUUCACUACCUUCAGCUUUAAUCCGCUCCAUUUUAGCUUUAAUCUAUUCCACUGCAAUGCCAGGGAAACAAGAUUCGCUGCCUUCAGUCUUAACGCUAAGGAGGUAAGACUAGUGUCUUCAAUUCACUCCAUUGCAACUUCAGGGAGAUAGGAUUUGUGGUUUCACGGAUCUGUUCUCUGGGGAACAUGACCUGUAGAAUCCCUUUCAUGGGCCUAUUUAUGCCUAGUGAUUAGGAUGUUAUGAUCGGAAUGAAUCAAAAUCUUCUAACCAAAUGUGCAUGCAUGAAUGCAAAAUGUCAUGGAAAUGAUCCCCUAAUGUUUGAGUUGUUAUUGCUCAUUAUUCAUUAAGGCUUUAUUACCAACACGUCAGGACGCCAUCUUGUUCGGCUGGUAACACUCAUAUCUUACUUAACCAGAUUGCCCUCACUGUAAUCUUCAAGGUUCAAUCCACUGUAAUCUUCAUAAAAUUUGAACCAUCCUCCUAUAAUUUAGGAAUAUAAGAUCUGGCUCUUUCCCAAUCCUCUCCUACUGCAAUUCAAUGAUACAAGAUCUGAAUCUCUUUGGUCUCUUACACCUUUCCUCGAGUGUUAUACCAAAUUUUUAUGCACAAUUGUAGAACUUUCUUCUCCAAGAAAACCUCUUUUUAUCACUGGGUGAUCAUUGCUCGUUUGUUCGUUGAAGCUUUGUCACCAACACGACAUCUUGUCAUUUUGUUCAAUCAAUGUUUUGACAACAAAAUCCGAAAGGAUAGUCUUAAUUUAAACUUUUCUUCCUUAGAUAUUUCAACCUUUAAACUUGGUGAAUUCUAGAUAAUAAUCCUGUUUCAGGUUCCUGUAUUAUUUAGAAACUUUUAGAGUAAUAUGCAAAACUUCCUUUGUAAAAGUAUUAUUAGUCCAUUAAUCAUUAUUCCAAUGCAACAUGGAUAAAAAUAGAAUUGAUUUGGGAGCAUGGCUCGAAAUCAAUAAAUUAUCAAGGAUAGUAAAAAUAAAAGAGAAAUGGAUUGGGAACACGUAUCUUGAAAAAUAAUGAAGUAUUCCAAGAAAAAAUUUAAUAUAAAUAGUAUGAAGACUAGGUGCCCCAGAUAUAACAGCUUGAGCUCCUCCGUACAAACUUUCUGAAGACCAUUCUGAGUUUGACAUGUGUUUAGGAGAUCUACAAUACUUUGUGGAUACCCCAAGAUGUCGCCUGCCCUUUUCUGUUGAUUCAGGUAUAGCAAGAUCACCACAUGCCCCAAUCUGAUCAAAAUUUGAGCUGCUCUGAUCACCUCAUGCUCCAUUCUUUUUGGGUUUUCAACUCAAAUCCUCUUUGGUCAUCAAGGCGCCCUUUGCGGGUUUUCACCUUGGCCUAUCCUUUUUCUUUUUUUUUUCUUUAUUAUUUUUUUAUAUUAUAUUUUUUAACUCAAAUCGCCCUUUACGGGUUUUCACCUUGGUCUUUUUUUUUUAGAACUUAAGGAUCCCCUUACGGGUUUUCACCUUAGUCUUUUUAGGACUCAAAGCACCCUUUGCGAGUUUUCGCCUUGGGCCCUUCUCUUUUUUCAAGUGAAGUAUGUCUUGAUUGAGUCUGAGUUUAAAGAAUUUGGCAAGUUUUCACCAUCCAUCUCGCUCAAAAUCAAAGCUCCUCUGAAAAAUGCCUUCUUUACAAUAUAAGGUCAUUCCCAAUUUGGCAUCCAUUUCCCUCUAAAAUCUUUUUGUAGAGGGAGAAUCUUCUUCAACAUUAGGUCACCUCAUGAAAUUCCCUAGGACGAACCUUUUUGUCAUAUGCUUGCAUUAUCCAUUUUUGGUACAUCUGACCGUGAUGAAUAGCUUUUAGCCUUUUUCCUUUUAUCAGGUUUAACUAAUCACAUCGCGAUUGGAUCCAUCCUGCCUCAUCCCACUUUUAGCUCAGCUAAUACCCGGAGAGAAGGGAUUUCAACUCCAUCGAGUAAAACUAUGAUAAGCCAAAGAAGAAGGCGUUGCUCCGAUAAAGAAUUUUCACUGCAUCGUUCAUGAUAUUAAUCUUGAACAUACUGUAAAUUUCUGAAUCGUGCUGUUGUUCAGAUUACAAUGUCAGUACUUAACCCCGGGCAUAACCAUGUAAAGAUAUCUUUCAACUCUUAAAGUAACUUAACAAGGUCUUGUUUCGUUUCUUUGGUUAUACAUGUUCUGAUUUUUACUACUUUUCCCUCCUCCAAUGUCACAAUCUCCCUUGUCUCCUCAUGAGGUAAAAUUUGUUUCUCUUCCUGUUCUACCAUCCUUAACAAGUUUGGAGAUAGGCUAUAGUCUAUGUCAUCUUCAAAGUCACGAGAUCCCUCUAAACACAUGUCUCACUCACAAGGAGAUUCUGAGUCUAUAGUAGCGUCACUCAUGUCAUUGAUAUCUAGGGACCUAUUGUAGGUACAAAAGAAUAUACAAAAAAUGUAUGAAUUUAUGAAUAAUUAUUUGUACAAUAUGAUUAUGAGUGAAUGAAAGAAUGAUGCGAAAGAAAAUCCAAAAGAAUGAAAGAAUAUUGGCUCAAAAAUGAUCGCAAAGAUGUAUUUUAUUAAAAUAAUGACAUUCAGACAUGAGCCUAUUUCACAAAGAAGUUCUUAUUAUCUCUAGGCUAAAAGCAACAACUGUGUUCUGAACAUUAUUCUAAGUAAGCUCUAAAUACUACAGAGAUUUCUUUUGCAGUUCGAUUGCUUAGAACACUUCCAGGUUUAUAAGGGCGGAUAUUUAACAUGGUCCCUUUUCAGUUGUCUUCAUGUAUGGGAUUGAUGUGAACGUUUCCCAACAUUUUGCAUAUACUUCUCUCUUUUUUAAUUUCUUCACAGAACUCUAUUUCUUUAUUGUCCAUCAUGCCUUGAACUAAGGCUCUGAAUUCUCCACACUCUUGGAUCUCAUGUCCCACUUCAUGAUGGAGCUCACAAUAGUUCAUUGUCUUUUCGUAGUUUCCUCUUGAAUCCGAAAUGAUUAACCUCCUUCUUGCCAUGUCUUUCCAAACCCAUUUUGAAUGAUUUUUUAUCUUUGCAAUAUUUGCCUUGAUUCUUCUUCCUAUUUAUCACUCAUCAUGUUUACCCCAUUAUUAGCAUGAUUGGGUAGCGAAUUUUCUGUACUGGAUGAAUCAUCGAAUUUGACAAUGCCUAUAUUGAUAAGCCUUUCGACCAACUUUUUAAAGGCAGUGCAGUUUUCUAUAGAAUGUCCCAUAAUUCCUGCAUGGUAUUCACAUUGGGCAUUUGAGUCAUACCAUUUAGGGUACGGGGGGUGCAUAGGCCUUAUGUAGAAAGUGGAUACCACAUGUGCAUCAAAUAAAACUUGGUACAACUCUCCAUAUGUGAUUGGGAUGGGCGUGAAUAAGAGUUUUUCUAAGUUCAGUACUGAGUUAGAUUCUUGCCAUGGGGGAUCUGAUGACUAGUAGUAACCGUCCUUGGUUGGCCUGCGGUAAUCAUCUUUGAAUAGCCCUUGUUAUACAUAUUCGCUUUAUUCGCCUCAUUUUUUCUCUUCCUCAGAGCCUUUGAAGUAUCUGAGAGCUCUACUUUCGCUUGUUUUGUUUUCGCUAAAUCAUCAAAGACAACAAGAUUGGUUAGAUUGCCCCUCAGAUUGGAACUUGAGCUUGUCGGGCAGUUUAUUAGUGUCGAGGUAUCGGUCUGAUAUUGUUGGGGGUCUAAUAGUAAGGGGUGUCCCUUGUGGACGAGCAUUUGGCUGGACCUAGACACUUAUCAGGGUAAAACCUAGGGUAUAGAUAGGGUCUUCAUUAUCAUCCCCAAAGUGGACCGUUGGGCUCUUUUCUUUUUCUAACCCUCUAGCUAGCAACUGGGUUAACUGGCUCAUCAUAUUUCUUUGUAAUUCUAACAUCUGAUCCCUCAUUUCCUGUUGUAUUUUGGCCAAUUUCUCUUGUAUCUGUAUUUGCAUUUGCUCUAAUCUCUCCAACCUUUAGUUCAUUCCUUUAGUUUUUGCUCAGAUACCGUAACGAUGUUUGGUUGGUAGGUUCCAGAUUAACUGAAAUAAUUUUAAUUAAUUAGACUCUUUUGGUAGACUUUGAUGCAUAUGAUGUCAUGUAAUGCAAAUGAAAUGAAUGCAAAAAGAGACGUUGAUUCUGGUUCAAUUCUAUUAAAACAACUUUACUAGAAAACAAAUCUCUUUACAUAAAGCAGAUAUAUAUACGACUUUUGCCCACAGACUUCAGAUGAAGACAUCGAUCCUUUUCUUCAUCCGGAUGUUAAGAUGAAUCUCACGAAGUUUCCAAUGGAUGUCUCUACUAGCUCCUUUUUGCUUGACCCGGACUGCGAAUCAUUGCUCACUCAUCAUUGUGAUGCUCGUUAGCUUCUUUAAAAAGUUCGGGACAUUGACGACUCUCGAAUAAUCUUUGUUAACAUGAAUCCUCGACAAUUAAGCAAAGUUGUGUACUUCUCCGUUAGAUUGUCACUUUUCCCUUGUUACAUUUUCUUGGACCAUAUUCGGACAACCGCAUUGUCUUUCAUUUUAUCAAGAAAUUCGUUUUCCAUGACAAGUUUUCUAUUUAGCAACUGAACGUGAAUCAACACCUCUAUGUUAUGAUGAAAGGCCAUGCAAUCAAAAUGUCAUGUAGUCAAAACAAAACACAACAAGUUAGUAUCAGAUAUGAAAGCAAACAGGAAAUAAUCAAGUACCUACUUGGGUAGUUACUAGGGUUUGGCGUAGUUCUGCCUAGGACAAGUUCCUAAGGUUCACUAUAUGAGGUUUAACUUCUAGGGAAAAGAUACUUGAACCAGAAAAUUCCUUGAUCUUAACCCAUUAUAGGUUCAUACGGACCGGCUUCAGUUCAGGGGAAUACAUUUCCCUAUGACUACACUGAGAUGAAAAUCUCACGAAAACAUAGGUACGGAUGUAUCCCGAAAGCGAUCCACUAUCCUAUACGGAGGUGUAAACCUCACGAAGGACUAGUUUCUCACUCUCACUUAGAGGGUAAAAUAAUCCAAUCAUGUAAUGCAACGCAAAUACACUAACGGACUUAGACCAACCAAGCAAGCACACUAUAAAAAAAUGAAAUUGAAUGCAAAGGGGAAAUUAUGAAUCUCAAAACAAAUUUUGAUUUUUCGACCAUAAGACAAAACUUAAUCAAUUUAUGGCUCGACUCUCAAAACCAGUCCCUAGUGCAGUCGCCAAGCUGUCGAAACAACUUUUUAAACACAAAAAUAAUGUCGACUUAAAAAAAAAUGAAAAUUGGAGUCGCCACCGAUCUUUUAUCAAUGUGUGAUCGGAUCACCUAAAAACAAUUUUGGUCUUCGAAUUAAAACAAUAGGUUCGGGAGUCGGCUACGCACGAAGAAGGGUUAGCACCCUCGUAACGCCCAAAAUUGGUACCGAAUUGAUUGUUUAAUGUCUUAGUGUCGAAAAUUUGAAAAGAUUUUAAAAUAUGAUCCUUUUAAAAGAAAAUUUGAAUAAAUUAAAUUGGAUGAUAAUACCCUCUUAUUUCGAAGAAGAAAAAUGUCACACCCAGUGAAUUAAGGUGUAGCAUUUUUAAUCCUCGAAACUAAGUUUGUCUUUUGACUUUUAAAACUCAUGCAUUUAAGUUUGAGAAGGACAUUUGAUUAUUUAGGUCAAAUGAAAAAUCAGAACUCAGUAAGUUAGGGUUCAAUUUCUCAAAAUUCCAAAUACCGAAUAUUGCCUUUAUUUUUAGAAAUCCUUAACUCAAGGUAGCAAAAUGUCAUAUCCAGUAAGUUAGGACACAAAGUUUUAAAAUCCCAAGAAUAAAAUUUUAUUUGAAAUUUGUACAAUUUUAUUAAAAAAGGGAUACUCGGUUAUUUGAAUUUAACGAGAAAAAUUGAAGCCCAACAAGUAAGGGCACAAUCUUCUCGAAAAUCUUGGAUACCGAGUCUUGUUUCAUAAACUUUUGAAUAAGAAUGUAAUGUGAUUGAAUGACAACAAACGAAGCAAAAAGGAUAAUUUAUAAAUAAAUCGUACAUUAAUCAAAUAAACAAUAGAUGAAUACAAAUGAAUAAUACACAUUGCAAUAAUAAUCUCAAUCAUAUAUUAUGCAAAUGCUAACAAUGUGCCGCCACGAACAAGGUUUUCUGCCAUGGCUCCGCCACCAAAAACCACCGCACACGGCAAUCGGAGCCUUGAAAAUCCCCUUUCUUCGGCGAAUCAAGGGAUGUAUCCACUUCCUCUCAUUUUAUUUUUCUGUAUAUAUGGGUAUAAAUGGCUAAAAGAAAAGAAACAGAUUCGGGAAAAUCACCUUUUUUUCGAUUUUAUUUAUUUGCUUCUUUUUUUUCUGUUUACAAUCCAUUUUCUUUCUUUUCACUUUUACAAUCAAGUCUGCUUUUUAUAGCAGAUAAUGGAAAAAGGAAAAUGUAAAAAAAAAUCUAAAUUUAAAUGCAUUAUUUGCCUUUGAUUUGCGAUUUUUUGAUUUUCUAGCUUGUUGUCAUUUUUGUUGUGCAAGUACAAGCUUGGAGGGGAUGCACGCGCGCAGUGGCACAGCACGUGCGGGGGAGGGCCUGGCUGCUGCGGCGCUGGGAGCUAGAUGCUGCUAGGGUUUUUGAUUCUGUUUUUUGUUUAGGUUGGGCUUAUUGGGCUAGGGGUAUUUAGGCUAGUGGGCUAAAUUAAAUUUAGGCUUCGGGCCAGUGUAAUUGGGUAGUGAAUUUGGGCUUGAAGUUUGGGUUUGUAAAAAGAAACUGGAUUGUUUUAUUAUUUUGGUUUUAUUUUGGUGCUUAUUUAUUUAAUUGGGCCCGGGGCAAAAUUGGGUAUUACAGUUUGGUUGCCUGAGGGUAAACUAAACAAAAAUAAAAAUAGAAACGGAGAACAAAACAAAUUGAAAUCAAGAAAUAAACAUGCAAAAGAUAAAAUGUACUCAAGCUAGUAUGAUACACAGAAUUGGACAGAAAUAUAUUAAUAAAAUAAUGUAAAUAAACAUAUAAUUCUAGCAUGAUACACAAUUGACUCGCAAUUUUUAAAAUUAGAAGAGUUAGUUCAUUAAAUUAUAAAUCAAACAAAUACUAGGAUAUUAAAUACAAGGUUCUAUCAAAACAGAUAUACAAAUAGACAAUUAUAUUCAAAUGAAUAUAAGUGGUAAAAACAUCAAAACUCAUCACAAUUUCAUCCAUAUAAGGUACUAUGUAACAACUCGUUUUCCAGUGGUGUCGGAAAUAGUAGUUUUGGGACCACAAUUUUGACAUGUCAGUCUUAAAUAUUAAUUAUAAAUUCAUUUGUGUUGUAUUUAAUUUUGGUUAUAAAAUUUUACUGUUUAGGUAGUUAAUUAACUCAAAAAGAUUAAUUCGUAAAAGAUGACAAAGUCUUUUACUAUUGAAUUAUCUUAACAAAAUGUUCUAAAUAAUUAAAGUAGAGGGAUUUAUUUGAAAUUAGACCAUAACAUUUUUGUAUGGACGGUUUUGGGUUACAAAUGUAAAGUUUUACAUGGUUUAAUUAAGGGCAAUAUGGUAAACAAUUAAUUAAAACAUAAACAAAUAAAGAAAACGAGCCAUGAAAGUAGCUUGAUUGUUUGGCAUUUAGUCUCUUGUAUGUAAGCUCGUUUUUAACCUAUUUCUUGUAAAUUUUAUGUUUUUUGAAUCGUUGUAACUUAAUCUAGCUAGUUCAGGGACUAAUUGUGAUCCUGUCAAAUGUUUAAAAAUUUACCAUUGAUGAUUUUGAAUGUUUUUUAUGUUAGUUGAUUUUUUGGAAGCUUGGUUGUUUGAAAUAAUUAAAUUGUAAAGUGAUUUUUAUAGUAAUUUUGAGUUUAGGAACUAAAUAAGUAAAAUAUUGAAGUUGACUUGUUUUUCUUGUGAAUUUUUGAAAUUUAAGGGUUGUAAUAAAAUGGAUAAAAAUUUAGUUACAUGGAUAUAGGAUUUAAUUGUAGGAAUAAGCUUGUUUUGGUUUUAGGGACCAAAUUGUAUAAAAUGUAAAAGUUUGAGGCAAAUGUGUAAAAAAAUUAUAAAUAAGAAGCCACGUGUAUUAAAUUGAAUAGUAUAUGAAAUUGAGUCUAAUAAUUGAAAUUAAAUUAUAUUUUAGAUCAAGAACAAGUUGAUAAAAGAGGAAAAGGAAAAGCUGCAGAAUAGUCCUUGAACUUUUAUUAUUUCUGCAAUUUAGACCUGGUAAGUUUGUAUGAUUUAAUUUUUUAUAAUUUAAAUUUUAUAUUAUUUAUGAAUUGAAUUUGUUAAAUGUGUCCUAAAAGUGUUGAAUUGUAUUAAGUGAAUAUGAUUUGAGAAAGUAAAUAGCUUAAGCAUUGUUAUUCGAUAAGUAAUUGAAUCGAUGAAUGUAGGUCAAAAUACAAAUGGCAUGCCAAUGAUGAUUUCUGAAUUAUUCUUGUUUAUUGAAUAUACCGAAGUUCAGCAUUUGUUGCGAACUAUCGUGUUAUAUUACAGUGAUUCAGGUGUGUUUCCAGGGGCGAGUGAAACCUUCGAGCUUGGCACUUAGUGUUGAGGUAUGUUUCAAAGGGAUGUUAGCCUACAAAUUGACACUUGGUGCCCAGGUGUGUUCUCGGACGGUUAGCUCAUUUGAUCGUUUUGGAGUGAUCUGAAUGGUUAACCACGUAUCUGAAUCUGUUAUAACGUUCAUUGGACAUUUUUUCUAUGGUGUAAUGUAAUUGAUUGGAUUGUAUCAUUUGCAUUUAAGCAUACAACUCACCCGUGAUUUGAUUGUGGUUGAUAGGAUUUUGGUUUAUUUUCUAUAUUCUAUAAAUAGAUAUGUGUAUUCGGUAAGUUUAUUAUUUUAACUGUUGAACUUACUAGGCUCAAUUAAAAUAAUAAACUUACCGAAUACACAUAUCUAUUACAGAUAGCAUUUUGUGGAAAUCAAGCAAUUGGAUCAACUUGAAGAAAUCAUACUAUCCAGAAAUCUUUUGGUAGUUUUUGAAUGUUCACUUUUGGUUAUAUGACAUGUAAUAGGUGAUUUAUAAUUAUGUUGGUUACUUGUUACUUGUGAGCUUGUUAAACUUGAAUAAUAUUUGGCUUUAGAUGGAUUUUAGUACAUAAGAGUAUGAUUUGGUUUUGGUAUUUAUAUGUUUUGAGAAUUGUUUGAUAUAUUUGAUAUAAGUCAUAUGAAAGUAUUUGAAUAUGGCAAUUUGAAUUAUGAAUUGAAUGGAAUGGUGAUUUUGGUAUGAGUUGUUAAGGGUUUUUGAGAACUUUGAAUGCAAUUACUUUGGUUGGAAAGGAGAUUUUGGUUUGGUAAUUGAAUUGUGGUGUUAAUGAGGACACAUUGGUUAGACACUUAGGAUGACUGUUUUGACAUGUUUUAGGCUUGUUAAAUAUGUUUUUAAGAUAUUAAAUUGGUUGGUAUUAAUUUGACUUGGUACCUAAGUUUUGGAUGAAAAUGUUCCUUAUUUUGCAAACUUUUUAAGGUAAACAUGGCGUGGGACACAAGUUGUCACACAGUUGUGUGUCACACACGGCUUGAGACACGGGUUGUCAUACGGCCGUAUGUGACACAUGGCCUACUCACACAGUUGUGUGUCUUAUUUGUUUUUAGUGCAGGUUGGUCCACAUGGGCACAGAGACUUACACGGCUUAGCGACACAGCCGUGUGACCCAGAGCUACACGGUCACAGUGAGUUACGCGGCCUGUCCACACGGCUAUGUGACCUUAUGUUACACGAGCACAGUUAGUUACACGGUCUGCAUACACAGACGUGUGGAGUAGCCACAUGGUCUGGACUCUGUCACAUGACCUAACCACACGGCCAUGUGACCGUUGUUUUAAAACAUUUUCAAAUUUUUCAUAUUUUCUGUUUUGUUUCAAAAUAGUCCCUAAUUGAUUCCAAACUAAUUUUAGGGCACCGUAGGCUCAGUUUAAGGCCAUACAUGUAUUUUAUGUCUUGAUUAAAAUGAAUUAUUGAAUGUUAUUUUAUAAUUUGUAUAAUUGUUUCUAAUUGAAAUUAAAUGUUUUGAAUUGUACUCUAAUACUUUGUAACCCUAAUUUGGCGAUGGAGAUGGGUUAAGGGUGUUACAUACUACCUAAGUGACUUUUCGGCUUGUAACAUUCUGCGACUUAGGUUGGUUAGGAAUUCAAAGAACAUGCUCGACAAAAUAACUAAGCACGAAAGAAGUUUGGCACAUUGUAUUGUUCCCUAUACUCCCCCAAUAUUCAAAUAAUCUCACCACCUACUUCUCUCACCUUCCUUAUUUCUCUAUUACUAAGGUCCCGUAUAGUAUUCAUGAGUACAAUCAUCUGAGCUCAUUAUUAAAAAAAAACAAAUGUGAGCGUACUUUUUUCCAACUCACUUUACUUUUAAUUUAUUUUAUUUUUUUCAAGAUUUUUCUCGAUUUGACAUUCAGCCUUAUUUUUUACAAGCUCAAAAUCUUAUAUUCACUAUACCAUACAAUUCCUUAGUUCACUUAUUUUUUUCUCUUUUGAAACCAUAGUGAUGUAUCUACCUAAUCCCUCAAUAUCAAUGGUUGGAUUUCUAAAUCUGUGCAAGGACCAAGAAAUUAAAGGAUCAAAUAAAUUAUUUAUUUAGGCUUAGGGUUUCAUUUCUGGUUCAUCAAGAAAAUGGAUUCAGGCUUAAGAUAGGUACUAAGGAAAAUAUUUACGGGGUAACUUUUUGGCUCAAAAAUUUGUCUACCAAACAAUGUUUUAGGUUGUCCUUAGGUAAUUCUAUACACAAAUUAAAUUUGUCAAGUCUAUCAAUUUCUACAACUAUAAUUCAAUUAAACAUGCAUGUUAUUUAUAUACCUAUUCAUCAUGUGGUAUACUUAGCAUCUUAAAUCUAUUUGUAGUGUAAUAAAUUGAACUAAUUGGUCUAAAAUUAGAUAAUCUAGAAUCAAUUAUUAUCAAACUAAAUUUAAAUUUAUUCACAAAAUCUUAUUAACAUGCUCCUAACCAAUCACUUGUAUUUCUACAAGCUCGAGCACAAACAAAACACACAAAAAAUUUAACUACUAAAAAUAUACUAAAACUAUAAAAAUAAUAGAAAUUUUUUUAAAAUUCUAUGUCAACCCCCCACACACUUUGUUUGAUAAAUUAUCCCCAAUGUGCACCAAAAAUAAUAAGGAGACAAGAUUACUCGAUUAGCUUGAUAAGUGCAACGAAAUUGGUGGGUGAUGGUCACUAAACUAACUAAAAUUACGACAAAGGAAAGCGCACCUAUCGAGUAAUAAUAUAGCUAUGGUGAGUAGGGAAUAUUGUAUCCAUGAGGACUAAAAGUACUAUUAAUUGUUGUUUUUUCUAUUAUUUAGUCGUCAAAUUGGUAAAAUUUUUUAAUCUGAAAUUAACUAAACUAAUUUACUAAGAACGCAACAAAGAAUGACCUGGGAAAUAAUUGAAUAUAACCAACGAGAUAGACAAUACCAAGGAAAGAAUCCACCUAGACUUCACAUAUUAUUCUGCAUCUGAAUUAAACAAUUUAUUCACUUGUGUCUUGAUCCGUAAAAAUCCCUAAAUUAUGUUAAUAUCUCUUUCGAGAGUAAAAACAAUUGACUCUAGGUUCAUUAAUUGAAAUCUCCUUCUAAUUAAAACCCUUAUUGUUGCAUUAAUUCGAUCUAUGGAUUCCCUUAUUAGAUUUGACUCUAAUCCGGUAGAUUUAUGUCAUUUUUCUAGGAUUUCAUGCAACUCCACUCAAUUAUGUUAGAUCUACUAUUAAACAGAGACUUUUGCUCCACUGAAAUAAGCACAUUAAACAUGAAUUAAUAUCCUAAAAAUAUUAAAACACGAAAUAAACAUACAUAAUUGAGAACAAGAAUCAAGUAUUUAUCAUGUAAAUCAGAAAUCAAAUAAUAAGAUUCAUCAUAGGUUUCAUCUUCCCUAGGUAUCUAGGGAAUUUAGUUCAUAAUCUGGAAUGGAAUCAUCUCAAAGUUAGGAUAACAACAAGACAUAAAGAAACCUAAUAAAACUUCUAAGGAAAUUGAAUAGAGAUCUUUAAUCUUGAAGGAGAUCCUCUUCUGAAUUGAAUCCGGUGGGGUUCUUCGAGUCUUUUCUUUGUUCUUCUCUGCGUGCUCCCUUAGGUCUUUUUUUUAAUUGUUACUUAUAGACUUUAGAAUGUUCAGAAAGCCUAAAAAUUGGGUUUUUCCACGUGUUCGGGAAACAGGGUGCAAAAUCGACACGGGCUGACACAUAAGCGUGUGGCCAGCUCAUGUAGCUCACACGGGUGUGUGGCCAGCCCGUGUGGAAAUGCUCAGAUCGUGUAGAUGCUGAAAACAACUCUUUUUGCUCGAUUUUGGCUUGUUUUUCACUCAUUUCUCUCCCUUAUGCUCAUCUAAGUAUAGAAACAUGAAUUUAAAGGAUUAGGAGCAUCAAAUUCACUAAUUUACAUAAUAAAUCAUCCAAAAACGCAUCAAGAAUGGGAUUAAAAACAUGUUACUUUUAUGACUUAUCAGUGGGACUGGCUUAUCCUCGCGGUUUUGGCUCGAAAUUGCAGUGCCUUCAAAAAAAAUAGGGUUCCUACACAGAAAACAAAAACAACAAAUUUUUUUCGAUAAAUAAAAUAAAAUAAAUAAAAUACACAAAGUGAAAAAAAUUAAAUCCUAUGUACUUCCCCCACACUUUAGAACAAACAUUGUCCCGAUAUAAAAGAAUUAAAGUGCGAACAAGAAAACUUCCUUAAAAAUGUUGAUUGUUUGUUGUCUUAAAUAAAUAAAUAACUAUAGUUGUUGGGUUUGUGGAGAGCAGAUAAUGGCAAGAAUCGCAUGGGUCGAUUGGACAAUUAGGGCAUUGAAACGUUGCAUAGCAGUCGGUUCAUCACAAUAGAAUCUGCUCCCCGUCGUAAUCUUGCAAUAAAUUUUAUGCUCCCCAAGUCAUUUCGUCAAGGUAUUUUGUGACACCCUUCAAUAGUCGCUCGACUUCAAUCAUUUUCGUUGCGACUUGGAAUCUUGAUUUUUCAUGUCCUCGAAUUACGACUUAGCCCUUUCACAUUUGGAUGCGCUAUGGCUCAUCGUGACAUGUUUAUGGUGGUUGUCAGGAUGACAUGUUCUUGUUCGUCACGAUGACGUGAUUAGUUGAUGGACUUGUUCGAUUGGCUCAUCAUAGCGGGUUCCGCCAUAGGGGGUGUGUGGUGUGAAAUGACUUGAAAGUUUCCCAAACUCGUCUUUUCGGAGCAUGUCGGACUCCUUGGUUUGUGCUUAAUCACCUUAAUCCACCUCAUGAAAUCCAUAACUACUGUGAGAAGCAACUAAUACACAUAAUUAAAUACUUUAAAUACAAAAAAUAAACAUCAAAAAAUAAAAUUUAAAAUUAAACAAAAAUUAAAAGAGAAGUCUUUUUUUGGAGUCAGGACGAUUCGUAUCGCCCCCAAAGAAGAACUUUUAACUAGUCCUCGACUCUUUGAUCUGCCGCUUGUUCCACCAUUGAUAAGUCUCAACCAAUACCCUCGGUUGAUUCCAAUGAUAUCACCUUAUCUUUGAUCGGCUCGACAUCCACAUCAUGAGUCACUUGGUGCCGAAUUCAAACGAACCCCAAAUUGUCUUUCGGGAUAUUUUGGCUCGAGCUUCCUUCCUCAAUGUCACGAGAAGCUUUGGUUGCCUAAGUUUUAUCUUCAUCAUCGAAUGAGAAUAAGAUAAACUUGUCGACUUCUUCGGCUGAUACCUCCUUGGUUAUGGCCAAAAAGUGUAUCGGCUCGUAUACAUUUUCAUUUAGAAUCGAUUGAAGCUCCUCUACCUCUUACUCUGCCGCUACAUCUAUUACUACAUCGAUGUUAAUUGGAUUGGAGACAACUUCAGUGAUAUUCAAUUUGUUUUCGUCUCUAGAUCCAAAAUCUUGUUGACUUUUAAGAAUUAAUUCUUGAUGUUUAUCAGUGGUACGUUGGUUAUUCGAAUCAGAAUUGUAGACAUCAUGUACGACCUCUUCCAUUGAAGCCUUUAGUUUGUAAGUUCGUUGAAGUUGCUCGAUCAUAAACGACAUCAUAUCCUCUAAUCGUUUGGCUUUUUUAUCCAAUUUUUCGAAACAUGUGGAAAAAGUUUGCUCCAUUACUUCACACAACAAUGUUUCAUGUGAAUUUUUGGAGAAAUUAGGAAUGCCAUACACGACUUCUAAUUGAUCCAACUGUUUUUGGAUUCUCUUUGAUUUAGCUUGGAAUUCUCGCUCACGAUUUUAUUGUCCAGACGUAUAGUUAUACAAAUCACAAGGAGUUUCGGCUAGAUACUCAGAUGUCCCUAAAGGUUGCUCAUGUAUCUCUUCCAUCGUUUCGUUUGUUCAUUGAAGCAGUUCUUGCAUAAGCGAUCUUUGGUUCUCCAUGAUCUCCCAUCGAUUGUAUGCUCCCUCUGUAUAGCCCAAUAUUUGCCCAACCCAUUACAAAAUUAAACCAAACGCAAAUACAACCCAAACCUAGCCCAAUUAUCAAAACCCAAUACCCAUUUUCAGAAAAAAAACAAAAGAAAAACCUAAGCCCCCUAACACUAGGAGCCGCCUCUAGCCUUUUGACCUUUGGCCUGCCGCCACCGCCGCUCAACUGCCACCGCUACCAACGUCACGUCGGCCGCCCCCCACUUGCGCUGUCACCUACAAAGAAGAAACAAAACAAAGAGAAAAUAAGCCAAGGACAAGCAGUAGAGAAAAUCGGCUAUAAAAGCCAACAAAAAUGUAACUUUGAAGUUUCUAGUGAUUUUUGUAACAAAAAAACAAAUAUUAACAGUAAAUAAAUUAUAUUCAAGGUGAUACUUCUCUUUUUUUUCGGUCUUAUAGAUCUGUGAGUUUUUAUAUUUUGUUUUUAUUUUAUUUUUUUCUUUGCAUUUUUCUUUGUUUAGAUCGAUAAACGAAAACAUUUCAAAAAAAAGGUACCUGAAUCGCCUCGCACCAUCACCGGCGGUGGCCCUUUCGCCGUCGUCGGAUUUGGGUUCAAAAAGGGGGCCAAAGUUUUCCUUUUCCUUUUAUUUCUUUCGGCGUCAGGGGUAAAGGGUUUAGCUAUUUGAUACACCGUGAGGCAAGGGCUAAAAAGCCCGUUUUGCGCGCCGCCGACCAUUGCGCGUGGCAGGGUUGACGGUGGCGCAUAUGGCCGGACCAUGGCCGAAUUUGAGAGGGGAGGGUUUUGAAAUUUUUUUUAAAAAAAAAAUAGAGGCUGAAUGAAUUUUUUUUAGUAAAUUUGGGUUUAAAUAACCCCUUAAAACGACGCCAUUUGGGCUUAGGGUUCAAAGACCAAAAACGGCGUCGUUUUGGUCUCUGACCCGCGCGGUGACCCGACCCUGGGGGAGGAUCCGCGUGUUUUCUAAAAGGGGGAUAUUUACGCGCGCAGUCCCCCUGUUUUUGCAGCACAUUGCAAUUUGGUCCUAUUUCGCUAUUUUCUUUUAUUUUAAUUUAGCAACAAUGUUUUGUGUUUGUUGCAUUUUGGUCCACUGCAGCGCUGCGUUUUGGGGCUAUGGUCUAUUUACCAUUUCGAUCACCCCGCUGUCGGCGCGCGUCACAAUUUAGUCCUUUUUGUUUUUUAUUUACGAAUUCGCCCAGUAUUUUGUUUUUAUUUGGAUUUGGUCUGUUUUAGCAUUUUAUAUUAUUUAGUUCAUUAUUUUUAUUACUAUUAUUAAUAAUGUUAUUAUUAUUAUUAUUUUAAUUACUUAUAUAUAUACACAUACAUGUGAUUUUAUAAUAUACAUAUAUAUAAUAUGCAUAUUUUUAUAAUCUAUCUAUAUAUACAUAUACGUACCUAUAUAUAUUUUUAAUAUUUCACAAUUUUUAUACAUAUUUAUGAAUAUGUCUAUAUAUGUAUUAUUUUCAUAAAUAUAUAUAUGUACUUACAUAUUCUUCAUAUUUUAAAUAUGUAUCUUAUAUAUGUUCUUUAUAUUUUAUGAAUCAUAUAUAUAACUAUAUAUAUAUAUAUUAUAUUUUAUGAUAGUUACAUACGUAUAUAGGUAUAUGCUUACUCAUAUAUAUAUUAUAUAAUAAUUUUAAAAUAUGUACAUACAUAUAUUUUUCAUAUUUCCAUAAUUUUAUGUAUAUACAUACAUAUAUUUUUCCCUUAUAUGUACAUACAUAUUUUUCAUAUUUUAUAAUUUUCAUAUAUUUUCCUUUAUUUUUAUGUUCAUUUAUGUAUUUAUUUAUAUGCCCAUUUUUAUGCUUUAGUUUAUUUAUUUAUUUAUUUGCUAUGGUAUAUGCAUGAUUGAUUUAUUUUAUUAUUCGUUUUUGUUCUUUUUUUAUUCACAUUAUCAUGUUUAUUAUUCCAUUAUGCAUAUAAAUACAUAUUUCAAAAAAAGAAAAUAUUUCUACUUAAGGCAAUAUUUAGUAUUUGGAAAUUCGAGAAAACAUGCCCUAAGGUGCUGGGUGUCGUUUUUUCUCGUUCAACCAAAUGGCUUAAUAUCCUUUUAAAAAGUGUUAAAAUAAGGCAAUGUUUUGUGUUUGGGAAAUUCGAGAAAACAUGCCCUAAGGUGCUGGGUGUCGAUUUUUCUCAUUCAACCAAAUGGCAAAAUAUCAUUUUAAAAAAUUUUUAAAAUAAGGCAAUGUUUUGCGUUUGGAAAAUUCUAGAAAACAUGCCCUAAGGUGCUGGGUGUCGAUUUUUCUCAUUCAACCAAAUGGCUAAAUAUCCUUUUAAAAAAAAUUCAAAAUAAGGCAAUGUUUUGCGUUUGGAAAUUUGAGGAACGUACCCUAAGGUGUUGGGUUUCCAUUUCUCGUUUAACCAAAUAGCCAAAUAUCCUCUCGAAUUUCAAUCCAUGUCAUCCGAGUUUUUUUAAGGAUCGUAUUUUAAAUCUCUCUAAAGUUUUCAGUUUUUCGACGUUAAGACAUUAAGUAAUCAACUAGGUACCAAUUUUGGGCGUAACGAGGGUGCUAAUCCUUCCUCGUACGUAACCAACUCCCGAACCCGUUUUCUAAAUUUCGUGGACCAAACUCGUUGUUUUAAUAAAAUUAAAUUGUUUAUUAAAAACAACCAUCUUCAAGGUGACCCAAUCACACCUCAUCAAAAAGGAUUGGUGGCGACUCCCGUUUUCGUUUUCAUUUUCAAAACCCAAGUCGAUCCCGUUUUUCAAUCAAAAAAAUGGUGUCAACAGCUUGGCGACUCCGCUGGGGAGUAAAAUAAAAGAGUCAAGCCACGAGUUGAUUACUUUUUGUCUUUUUAUCGAAAAUUGAAAAUUCGGUUUAAAUUUACGAUCCUUUCUUUGCAUUUGAUUGUUAAAUUGAGUUUUAUACCUUGGCAUCAUAUUGCAUAAAGACUGUUUAGUCUUACCCUUUUUAAGUGGGAGUGAGAAGCUACUCCUUCGUGAGGUUUUCACCUCCGUGCAGGAUAGUGGAUCACUUUCGGGAUACAUCCGUACCAAUGUCUUCGUGAGAUUUUCAUCUCCGUGCAGCCAUAGGGAAAUGUAUUCCCCUGAACUGAACUCGGUCUGUAUGAGCCUAUAAUGGGUAAAGAUCGAGGAAUCUGCUGGUUCGGGUACAUUGACUUUAGAACCAAACCUCAUAUAGUGGACUUAGGAACUUAACCUAGGUAGAGCCACUCCAAAUCCCUAGUGGUUACCCGACUAGGUACUUUUUUUUUCUUGUUUGCUUAUGUUUUGUACUAACCCCUCUUGUUGUGUUUUGAUUGCAUUGCACUUGCAUCUUAGGAAAGAGAUAUUGAUUCAAGUUCGAUUACUAAAUUAAAAAGCUUGUCAUGGAAUACGAAUUCUUUGAUAAAGUGGAAAACAAUACGGCUGCCUGAAUAUAUUCUGAGAAACACAAGAAGGGCGAUGGAAGAGUUCGUGACCUUGUUUCGUGGCCUGAGGAUUCAAGGCGAUUGUCUAAGAGCCUUCGACACUCCAACUCCCUUAAAGAAGCUGACGAGCCUUAUGAUGGAUCGCGACCAAGAUUAGGAAAAGGAGCUAGCAGUGGCAUCUAUUGAAAAUUCGCGAGAUUAUUACAAACAUGCGGAUAAAGAAAAAGAUCGACGUUGUCUCUUGAAAUAUAAGGGCGAGGCCGUACAUGCAUCUGCUUUAUGUAAAGGAAUUUGCUUUCUAGAAAAGUUUUCUAAAUGUAAUUGAAUCAGAAUCAACGUCUUUUUAGGCAUACAUCUCAUGCACUUGCAUUACAUGCAUUAACAACCAUUAAAAGACCCUAAUUGAGUAAAAAUUAUUUCAGCUAAUCUGGAAAACCAACAUUCUUGCGGUACCCGAAUAGAAACUAAAGGAAUGGACCAAAGGUUGGAGAGAUUAGAGCGAAUGCAGAUACAGAUGCAGGAGCAAUUGACCGAAUUUCAACAGAAGAUGAGAGAUCAAAUGCUAGAAUUACAGAGAACUAUGAUAAGCCAAUUCAACCGAUUGCUAGCUGGAGAGCUAGAAAAAAGGAAGGACCUGAUAGACCACUCCGAGGUUGAUAAUGAGGAUUUUGCUUAUUUCUUAGAUUGUACUCCGAAAAGUGUCCAGGUCCAGCCAGAUGGGCACCCACAAGGGGCACUCUUUACCAUAAGAUCUCAACAAUAUCAGACUAGUACAACAACACCAGUAAGUGGCUUGACGGGCCCAAGAUCCAAUUUGAGGAACAAUUUUCUUGUUGUAUGUGAUGAUCCAGUAGAAAUGAAGCAAGUGAGGGCAGAGUACCCAUAUACUAUAGAGGCCCCAAAGAAGAAGGAGAAUAGGGGGAAUAAUGGGAACAGAUAUAAUAAGGGCCACUCAAAACCAAUCACUAUGGGCCGGCCAAAGACAGAAGCCACCAGACAUCGGAGUUCUUUAAAGCAAGAAUCUGGAGUGAAACCAGACACCGAAAAGCUCCAGUUCACACCAAUUCCGAUGUCAUAUAAGGAGCUGUAUCAAAGCUUGUUCGAUGCACAUGUUGUUGCUCCCAUUACUUAAAACCCAUACAGCCUCUGUAUCCUAAAUGGUAUGACAUGAAUGCACAAUGUGACUACCAUACGAGAAUUACGGGGCAUUCAAUAGAGAAUUGCAUUGCCUUCAAGAAACUAGUUGAAAGAUUCAUUAAAAUAGGCAUUGUCAAAUUUGAUGAGGCCUCUAGUGCAGAAAAUCCGCUACUCAAUCAUACGGAUAAUGAAGGGAAUGCGAUGAAUGAAGAAAUGUUGGGAAAUGUUCACAUCAGUGCCGAAUACGAAGAAGCAACUGGAGAAGAGAUCUUUUUAGAUGUUCGCCCUUAUAAACUUGAGAGUGUUCUGAACAAUUGAACUGCAGAAGAAAUCCUUGUGGAGUAAUGUUCAGAACAUUUUUGUUUUUAGCCUAAAAGUGAUAGAAUUUCCUUUGUGAAAUAGGCUAAUGUCUGAACGUCAUUAUUCUAAUAAAAUACAUCUUCGCAUUCCUUUUUGAGCCAAUAUUCUUUCAUUCUUUUAGGCCCGACCAAGAUUGAAGCCACAACGGCGAAUCUUACUUCCAAACGAUGCAGCGGAACAGAUUGAAGCUACAACAGCGAAUCUUGCUUCCUCGAUAUUACAAUUCAAAAGAUCGAAGCCACAACGGCGAAUCUUGCUUCCAGACGGUGUAGCGGAACAGAUUGAAGCUACGACGGCAAAUCUCACUUCCCCGACAUUGCAAUUCAAAAGAUUGAAGCUACAACAGCGAAUCUCACCUCUCUGGCGAUGCAGCGAAACAGAUUGAAGCUACGACGGUGAAUCUCACUAUCCCGACAUUGCAAUUCAAAAGAUUGAAGCUACAACAGCGAAUCUCACCUCCCUAACGAUGCAGCGGAACAGAACAAAGCUACGACGGCGAAUCUCACUUCCCCGAUAUUGCAGUUUAAAAGAUCGAAGCCACAACGGUGAGUCUUACUUCCAGGCGAUGCAGCAGAAUAGAUUGAAGCGACAACUGCGAAUCUUGCUUCCCCGACAUUGCAAUUCAAAAGAUCGAAGCCACAACGGCGAAUCUUGCUUCCAGGUGAUGCAGCGAAACAGAUUGAAGCUACAACAGCGAACCUUACUUCCCCGACAUUGCAAUUUAAAAGAUUGAAGCUACAACAGUGAAUCUCACCUCCCUGACGAUGCAGCAGAAUAGAUCGAAGCUACGACAGCGAAUCUCACUUCCCCAACUUUGCAGUUUAAAAGAUCGAAGCCACAACGGCGAAUCUUGCUCCCAGGCGAUGCAGCGGAACAGAUUGAAGCUAUAACAGCAAAUCUUACUUCCCCGACAUUGCAAUUCAAAAGAUUGAAGUCACAACAGCAAAUCUCAUUUCCCUAGCGAUGCAGCGAAACAGAUUGAAGCUACGACGGCGAAUCUCACUUCCCCGACAUUGCAAUUUAAAAGAUCGAAGCCACAACGGUGAAUCUUAUUUCCCAGGCAGUGCAAUUGAACAGAUUGAAGCUACAACAGCGGAUCUUGCUUCCUCGACAUUGCAAUUUAAAAGAUUGAAGCCACAACGGCGAAUCUUACUUCUCAGACGAUGUAGCGGAAUAGAUUGAAGCUACGAUGGCGAAUCUUACUUCCCCGACAUUGCAGUUAAACAGAUUGAAGAAGCCAAUCCUAUCUCCCUGAAGUUACAGUGGAGUGGAUUAAAACCAAAGAUCUUAUCUCUCUGAAGUUGCAGUAGAGCAGAUCGUAUCCAAUCUUAUCUCCCUGAAGUUUCAGUGGAGCAGAUUGAAGAAACCAAUCUUAUUUUCCUGAAGUUACAGUGAAGCGGAUUAAAAUGAUGGAUCUUAUCUCUCUGGAGUUGCAGUAGAGCAGAUCGCAUCCAGUCUUAUCUCCCUAAAGUUGCAGUGAAGUAGACAGAAGAAGCUAAUCCUAUCUCCCUGAAGUUGCAGUGGAGCAGAUUAAAAUGAUGAAUCCUAUACCUCUGAAGUUGCAGUAGGUCGGAUUAAAACUAUCAUAGCAAGUCUUAUCUCCCUAACGUUGCAGUGGAACAGACUAAAACCAUGAAUCUCGUCCCCCUGAAGUUGCAGCAGAGUGGAUUGAAGCUACAAGUCGUAUCUUUCUGAAGUGCAGUGGAGCGGAUCGAAGCAACAAGACACGUUGGACUAGGAUGAAGCUACUUAAAGAAAAGAAGUGUCAAAAGAAGUCGAGACCCGGCGAGGCUGGGCAAAAUUGGUCUUUCUAUGUCUUUGCUCUGUUCUCGUUACACGACAACGAGCAAAGAGGGGCAGCUGUAUAGCCUAAUAUUUGCCCAGCCCAUUACAAAAUUAAACCAAACCCAAAUACAACCCAAACCUAGCCAAAUUAUCAAAACGCAAUACCCAUUUUCAGAAAAAAAACAAAAAAAAACCCUAGCCCCCUAACUCUAGGCGCCGCCUCUAGCCUUUUGACCUUUGGCCUGUCGCCACCGCCGCUCGACUGCCACCGCUGCCAACGUCACGUCGGCUGCCCCCCACUUGCACCGUCACCUGCAAAGAAGAAACAAAACAAAGAAAAAAUAAGCCAAGGAGAAGCAGUAGAGAAAAUCUGCUAUAAAAGCCAACAAAAAUGUAACUUUGAAGUUUCUAGUGAUUUUUGUAACAAAAAAAAUAUUAACAGUAAAUAAAAUAUAUUCAAGGUGAUACUUCUUUUUUUUCGGUCUUAUAGAUCUGUGAGUUUUUAUAUUUUGUUUUUAUUUUAUUUUUUUCUUUGCAUUUUUCUUUAUUUAGAUCGAUAAACGAAAACGUUUCAAAAAAAAAGGUACCUGAAUCGCCUCGCACCAUCACCGGCGGUGGCCCUUUCGCCGUCGUCGGAUUUGGGUUCGAAAAGGGGGCCAAAGUUUUCCUUUUCCUUUUAUUUCUUUCGGCGUCAGGGGUAAAGGGUUUAGCCAUUUGAUACACCGUGAGGCAAGGGCUGAAAAGCCCAUUUUGCGCGCCUCCGACCAUUGCGCGUGGCGGGGUUGACGGUGGCGCAUAUGGCCGGAUUUGAGAGGGGAGGGUUUUGAAUUUUUUUUUAAAAUAGAGGCUGAAUGAAUUUUUUCAGAAAAUUUGGGUUUAAAUAACCCCUUAAAACGGCGCCGUUUGGGCUUAGGGUUCAGAGACCAAAAACGGCGUCGUUUUGGUCUCUGACCCGUGCGGUGACCCGACCUUGGGGGGAGGAUCCGUGUGUUUUCUAAAAGGGGGAUAUUUGCGUGCGCAGUCCCCCUGUUUUUGCAGCGCAUCGCAAUUUGGUCCUAUUUCUCUAUUUUCUUUUAUUUUAAUUUAGCCACAAUGUUUUGUUUUUGUUGCAUUUUGGUCCACUGCAGCGUUGCGUUUUGGGGCUAUGGUCUAUUUACCAUUUCGAUCCCCCCGCUGUCAGCGCGCUUCACAAUUUAGUCCCUUUUGUUUUUUUAUUUACGAAUUCGCCCAGUAUUUUGUUUUUAUUUCGAUUUGGUCUGUUUUAGCAUUUUAUAUUAUUUAGUUCAUUAUUUUUAUUACUAUUAUUAUUAAUGUUAUUAUUAUUUUAAUUACUUAUAUAUAUACACAUACAUGUGAUUUUAUAAUAUACAUAUAUAUAAUAUGCAUAUUUUUAUAAUCUAUCUAUAUAUACAUAUACGUACCUAUAUAUAUAUUUUUUAUAUUUCACAAUUUUUAUACAUAUUUAUUAAUAUGUCUAUAUAUGUAUUAUUUUCAUAAAUAUAUAUAUGUACUUACAUAUUCUUCAUAUUUUAAAUAUGUAUCUUAUAUAUGUUCUUUAUAUUUUAUGAAUCAUAUAUAUAACUAUAUAUAUUUUUAUAUUUUAUGAUAGUUACAUACGUAUAUAGGUAUAUGCUUACUCAUAUAUAUAUAUAUAUUAUAAUAAUUUUAAAAUAUGUACAUACAUAUAUUUUUCAUAUUUCCAUAAUUUUAUGUAUAUACAUACAUAUAUUUUCCCUUAUAUGUACAUACAUAUUUUUCAUAUUUUAUAAUUUUCAUAUAUUUUCCUUUAUUUUUAUGUUCAUUUAUGUAUUUAUUUAUAUGCCCAUUUUUAUGCUUUAGUUUAUUUAUUUAUUUAUUUGCUAUGGUAUAUGCAUGAUUGAUUUAUUUUAUUAUUCGUUUUUGUUCAUUUUUUUUAUUCACAUUAUCAUGUUUAUUAUUCCAUUAUGCAUAUAAAUAUCAUAUUUCAAAAAAGGAAAAUAUUUCUAAUUAAGGCAAUAUUUAGUAUUUGGAAAUUCGAGAAAACAUGCCCUAAGGUGCUGUGUGUCGUUUUUUCUCGUUCAACCAAAUGGAUUAAUAUCCUUUUAAAAAUUUUAAAAUAAGGCAAUGUUUUACGUUUGAAAAUUUGAGAAAACAUGCCCUAAGGUGCUGGGUGUCGAUUUUUCUCGUUCAACCAAAUGGCUUAAUAUCCUUUUAAAAAAUUUUAAAAUAAGGCAAUGUUUUGUGUUUGGGAAAUUCGAGAAAACAUGCCCUAAGGUGCUGGGUGUCGAUUUUUCUCAUUCAACCAAAUGGCUAAAUAUCCUUUUAAAAAAUUUUCAAAAUAAGGCAAUGUUUUGCGUUUGGGAAAUUAGAGAAAACAAGCCCUAAGGUGCUGGGUGUCGAUUUUUCUCAUUCAACCAAAUGGCUAAAUAUCCUUUUAAAAAAAAAUUCAAAAUAAGGCAAUGUUUUGUGUUUGGAAAUUUGAGGAACGUACCCUAAGGGGCUGGGUUUCGAUUUCUCGUUUAACCAAAUAGCCAAAUAUCCUCUCGAAUUUCAAUCCAUGUCAUCCGAGUUUUUUUAAGGAUCGUAUUUUAAAUCUCUCUAAAGUUUUCAGUUUUUCGACGUUAAGACAUUAAGUAAUCAACUAGGUACCAAUUUUGGGCAUAACGAGAGUGCUAAUCCUUCCUCGUAUGUAACCGACUCCCGAACCCAUUUUCUAAAUUUCGUGGACCAAACUCGUUGUUUUAAUAAAAUUAAAUUGUUUAUUAAAAACAACCAUCUUUUCAAGGUGACCCAAUCACACAUCAUCAAAAAGGAUUGGUGGCGACUCCCGUUUUCGUUUUCAUUUUCAAAACCCAAGUCGAUCCCAUUUUUCAAUCAAAAAAAUGGUGUCAACACCCUCCUCGUAUGCUUUGUCUUCAUCCCAUAGGUUCGUCAAAUCUCCAUUCCUGCAGUACGUAUACUUGCUCGGCUUAGGUAGGAGUUCGUUCAAACACUCAGGUCGCUCGUCUUUGUAAUCACAACUCCAUUGGUUUGUUCGUACAUUGACCUAUAAAAAUUAAUAUUCAUAAUUAAAUCUGAUAAUCAACAAGGUAAAUAAAAAAUAUUAGAAUAAAAAUAUUUACUUAACGACAAAAAGUCAAAAUAACUUUUUUACACUAAAAUAAAAUAAAAUAUAAGAAAUAAAAGUUAGAACAUUAUCUAGCUUGUUUGUCUUUCGAUUAAUAUUAUUUUACAGUAAUUAAUCUAACAAAAAAAAUUCACCAUCGCAAUCCCCGACAACGGCACCAACAACUUGACCGCCUAUAAACAUUUUAUCCUUUAUAGUAAAAUAUCACACCAAAAAUAUAUUAAUUAAAUAUGCGGUGUCCGCAAGUAGAGGUGUCCAUGGGCUGAGCGGCCCAGCCCGGCCCGACGGCUUGCCCGAAAUAUGGGAGGGUUUGGGUAAAAAUAUAGUAUCGAAAUAUGGGUUUGGGCAAAAAAACGAGGCCCGUUUAAAAAACGGGCCGGGCCUCGGGCACCACUUUUUUGAUCGGGUCGACCGAAUAUAAUAAAUAUAUAUAUUUUUUAUUUUUUUAUUUUAAAAUAUUUUUAAAAUUCUUUUUUAUUUUUAAAAUAAAUUUUUGGUGUUUAUUAAAAAAUGGGCCGGGCUCGAGCUUAGGAAUUUUUUCUCGGGCAGAGCCUGAAUAAAAUUUUAGGCCCAUAUUUUGGGCCGGGCCGGGCCGGGCCCAGGCCAAGGUCGCAGGCCAAAAAAAUUUUUUGGGCCCGGCCCGGCCCAUGAACACCUCUAUCUGCAAGUGUAUGGUUCAAAUUUUAAUAGAGUGAAGUUUACUAUGAAACACUAGUAAGUAUUCCGAGGAUCGUACCCAACGGAUUGCAGAUUGGAGAAAUUAUUAUUAAAUUAAUUAUAGAAAAUAAUUACUAAUCUAAUCGAGUCACGAAUUAGUAGUGUGGAUCCAAAUUAAUAUUUUAAUGAAACUAAUUAAAUUAACUAACCUAGAUUAAACUAAUGAACUUUCUUAUUCCUAGUAUCGACAAUGCGAGCCUUUAGCCUAUGAUCGAUUAAAUCUCUAAUUAUCUAAUUAAAUAAUUAAUUAUCCUAAAUUGAGUUAUUUAUCACUCUUAGCUACCCUCUCGGUUCAUCUUCACUAAGGAUUACCACCUAAGUCACACUUUUUAGUCUCUUCCUAGGCAUACAGAUACUCUUCUGGUCUCUCCGCUUGGCACAAGUUAUACACGACAGGAUACCCUUCUGGUCUCACUUGUCUCGAUAUUCUAUCAGGGGUGUCACUCCCUAAUAUACUAAGUACUAUUGAAUAAACAACCAAUUUUGGAUAAAUAAUAAUUUAUCAAAUAAAUUAGUUUAUUAAUCGAAUCAUGCGAGAUAUAAAUAAAGCACAAUAACUUAUUUGAAUAUUUAUACAAUGAUCAAUUAACCAAAUUAAUAGAAGAUAAAUAAACAAAUAGAAGAGAAGAGAUAAAAGAAUUCCCAUGAAUAUAUAUUGAAGCAUGAAUCCGGAGCAAUCUCUGCUCGCGAUUGUCUUCAUAUUGGAAUAGAAAAAUUUCGACUACACAAACAUAAAAAGAAAACUAAAAACUGAAUAGUAAAAUUGUCUGUCUAAGUCUGUACACAAUUCUGAUAAACCUAAGGUUGCUUAUAUAGGCAUCGGGCUACUUAGUGACCACUCAACCUUAGAUAUAAUUAGAUACCAAUAAAUGUAAUAUUUUGAUAAAUGUUAGGGUCCAAAUAUGGAAAUAUCCCCAAAAGUGUCGUCAAAUGAAUCAAUUUCAUUUUGGCUUGCCAUCGUCGUGUCAUCAUGACGUGGGAAGUCUCCUCGUCACAACGUCGCCACCAUGAAUGGUCUCCCAUAUUCAUCGCGUCGUCGUGACAAGAGGAAGCUCCUUGUCACAACGUCGAGUGUAUUUCGAGCCUUGGCAACCUCAUUGUGCUAUCAGACUCCCUCGUAUUCUUGGACCUAAAUUGGCAUCCUACACACUUAAUUAGCUCAUGAGUCACUCACGAGGCCUGAGUCGGCCUUACGGGUCAUCGAUAUAGCAGAAAAUGUGUAAAAAUGAUGAUUAUUUUAUUAAUAAUUUAUUUCUAACCUACUAAUACUAAAAAUGCAAUACUUAAUUAUAAAAUGCCAAGAAAAGAAGUUCAUUAAGUGUAGAAAUGACCUAAAAUAGCUAUUACAUUUGACGUUAGGAUAGACAUCACAUAUAUAAUAAUCAUAAUUAAAUGUUAUUAUUUACUAUCAUAAAAUGUUAGCCCAAACUAAAAGUGAUCUAAUUUGGUUAAGGUUUAUUGGGUUUUAUUUAUUAAAUAAAGCAUGAGUCAAAUAUGUGUAGAUACUCUAGUAACUAAUUUUUAAUUAAUGAUGGGUUGAUUAGAAAUUAGGUUACUAUGUAAAAUAUAUUAGGGUAAUGGUCCCCAAAUUAUACAUAUGUAACUUUUCUAAUGUCUCAAUUUUAGAAAAGAGAGAGCUACAUUCUCUGAAUUACUUGUGUGCUAAUUUGGAAGAUCUAAAGAUUUCAAGAAUUCGAUAGAUUCAUGUACGUUUCUGCAUCUAGUUUUAUUCUUGAUGAAUUUAACAUGAUAAAUCCUAAUUUAUUAAUUUUAAAUUAGAUCUUAUUUUACAUUUCUAAUAGACCAAAAUGAAGACGAAACUAUUCACAUUUAAAGGCAAUUGUUAGGUGAGAGAGUGGCAUGGGGCUUCCAUGCUUGUGAAUAGCGUCAGAAACCCAACAUUUAACUACUGCCAUCAUAGCAUAUCCAAAUGCAUAAUUCCAAAUAUCUAUAUUUUCUUUUUCUUUUUUUUUUAUCAUGUUGUUCCUUUCCUAUCACUUUUAUAUUUUCUAUCUCUUUGGAAACAAUACCCAAAUCUUGAUGUUGAGAGCUCCACCAUAUAGGAGCAAAGAGUAACCUAUUUGUGAAUUUUUAAAGAAAAUGUGAUGUAUAAUAUAUAAAGAAUUGGAUAUGAUUGUCUACCUUUCUAUUAUUUUAAUAUAUGAUUGUUUGUGAUGAUCACACCAUUCACGUUGGAAUACCUGGUUUUUACCUUACCCACUAUGUUUUGCUCAAGCUUCUUUCCUAUUAUAAUAAUAAUUGUUUUAAUAAUUAAAUAGUACGAUAAUAAAAAAUUUUAAUUUAUAAUUAAAAUUUUAAGGGAAAUAAUAAUGAAUACAUAAUUGUUUUAAUAAUACCCACUUAUGACACCAACUCAAUUAAAUACUUAAAAAUAAUAUAAAUAAAUAAUUAAAAUAUAUAAAUUACUUUUUUUCUAAAUAUAUACUAUCAAUUAUUUGGAUAGUUCAAAUAUUAUAACCAUAAAUAAUUUUAAUCAAAUUUAAAGUAUUCAUAUAAUAUUAAAAUAGAUGUAUUAUAAAUUAUUUUAUUAAAAAACAACAUUCAAAUUUUCAGUGAUAAAUUUCGGUAUUCAAAUUUUCAAUUUUAUUAAUAUUUAUAAUAAAAAAUCAUUAGAAAAUACAUCCAAUAUAAAUAAAGAUAAUUAUGUUAUAAAACGCUUAUUCGCUUAUAAAAUUUUGGAGCCCUCAACUUUAUAGUUUAGUUGAUUUGACUAUUAAGUUUUUGUGCUUUUAAUUGUUGCAAUUUUAUCAUAUUUGAUGUAAAUUACUUUGAAUAUCCAUAUCGAUUAUUCAUGAUAAUAUACACAUUUAUUUAUUUUUAAGUGCUAGUAUGCCCUCAAUAGUUUGCUUGUAAAGCAAAUAAUGAUCAUCAAUAAAUUUUAUCAUGGAUUGGGUCAACAUAAAAUUUUAUGUCUCUUUAUUAAGUACAGGUUAGGCUCAAAAAAUGAGUCUAAAAUUUUGUCCAAUCCUAAUCUAAAUAAAAAUGUUAAACUCGAGUCCGGUCUGACCCAUCAUAUUAAUUUUUUUGUAUUAUUUUUAUAUAGAAACAAAUUUAAAAAAAAUUAAUACACUAAAAAUAUUCAAAUAAAUGUUUCUCUCCAAAUUGAAAAUACAUUAAAAAAAUUAUACUUAAAUAGCACUAAGAUAGUUGCAACUUAGUAAGAAAAUACCUUUAAAAUAGUGGCAAAAUUAAUAAUAAAACAAGAAUUAUGUAAUAUUCAAAUAAUAGCCAAAAAAUAGUAGCAAUAUAAUAACAAAAUAGUAGCAACACAACAGUAAAAAAGAUUUUAGGCAGAUUCGAGCCUUGUAUUAAAAUAAUUAUAAUAGGAAAGCAAGCCUAAAAAUUUUUUAGGCAGAUUCGAGCCUUGGCCAAAAAAAGUUUACUCAAGACUUGACCCAUUUAGAAAGCAAGCCUUAUUUUUGUCUAAGCCCAUUUUUUGGGCCUAUAUUUUUUCCUAAAUCCUCUCACUUUUUGGACGAACCUUCGGGACUUGACGGGUGGCCCGACCUAUGAUUAGGUCUAGUAAGCAAACAUGGUUCAUUAAUUACCAAUAUUAAACUAUGAAAAAGUGGCAUAGCGAGAGAGUUUUGUAUGCUUGCAAAAGGCAAUUUUUUAUAGUUGGUAAUCUAAACAUGCAUGUAGUUCAUGGGGUUAGAGCAAUAAGUAAUUUAUGUGAGAACUAACAUGCAUGAAGAUAAUUCGCCUUGGCUAUCAGAGCGAGAACAACCCCCCAAAUAAAAACACCAAAUAAAGACAUAAAUGUAAUAACAUGGACUCACAAUGCAUUGUACCAGGUCUAAAUUUAAUGAUCAUGAAUUGAUUUGUAGAAAAAUUCACUUGCGACAUACAUUAUGCAUUUAACCUUAAUCCUAAGUAAGUAUAUGUUUGCGCAUGUAUCGCUUGUAUGUUUUGAUGUAUUUUGUGUAUGUUAGGUGUGCAACUUAGGCAUGGUGUGGCUUUACUUAUAGAUAUAGAAUCAUAGCUCUUACCAAGAGUUAAGCUAUCCUCUAAAAGACAUUAUAUGGUUGAUGUAUAUGAAACUCAAUUAAGGGUCAUGUCAAAGUGACUUAAAUCAUUCACUAGGUCAAUGAUUAUUUACAUCAUGGUAUAUUUAUAUGUGCAUCAAAUUUUAUUUGGAUUUGGAUUUUCUUGGAUUUGAAUUUUUUAGAGCCCAGAUCAACUUAGACUCAGAUUUUUUUCAUGCUCAUGCCUUUUCGUACUCAUUUUUUUGGGCUCAAAUUUUUUCAAGUUCGGGCUCAAAUUUUUUAGGAUUCAGGCUCGGAUCGAGCUGAGCAAGCUCUAACAAAUUAAAAUAUUUUUAACCUUUCUAAGUUAUAAAUAUUUUUAUUUCAAAUAUAAUAAUUUAAUUUAUUUUUAUAUGAUGACAACACAAUUUAAAUUUGCCUUAUAAAAAACUUAAAUCGUAUAUAUUUAACAGAGUUCUUUUAUAUGAAAUAAUUAAAUCGCUAAUUGUAUGUAAAUUUUGUUAUUAUACGAUAUGUAUAUGAAUUAAUGAAAAUAUCUUUCAUUGUUUAUUGUCAUAUUAUAUUGAUAAUUGAAUAACUUUUACCUUUCAUAUUAAAUUUAUAAACCUGUUACUUAUAUUCUAAAAUACUUAUUUCAAAACCCAAAUAUAUUAUUGUAACACCCAAAUGGUCGGACGACCAACCUUUCAUGAAUUCAAAUUUUAAAAUAAGAAAUAGUAACUUAAUAAUCAAUUAACAAAUCCACAGGGUUUUACUAUAAAAACAUAAUAUAUGAAACAACUUUCUAACAAAAUUUAUCUCUUAUAAUAAUAUGUCCAACAAAUUGCAAGAGUAUAAUUACAUUUUGAACUGGAUUUGAAAGAUUCUAAUACAAGCACAAAACAUAAAUUUAAACCACGCGAUGCUCCGAUAUCUACACAUGUUACAAAAUAAAGGAUGUCAUGCUCACACAAGGCUUUGAAGGUUCUGGCUUAGUUCCUUAAUUUCCUACGAACAAUAAUUUGGAAUUACCUAAAAUGAGGAAAAGAAAUACGGUAAGUUCAUAAGGAACUUAGGGUGAGUUUGGAUGGGCGGUGCGUUUACCUGCAGUUAGUGUAAAAAUAGCAGUGGCGGUGAAAUUAGAUACUAUUACAAUACUGUAACAUGAGACAAAAAGUAAGCUAAACACACCACACCGCACCGCACCCAAACGCCUAUCCAAACCCACCCUUAGUGAGUUCUAAAAUAAGUUACUUCAAUUUUAGGAUUCGCCACAGAUCUUCCUUAGUGAAAACUUCUAAGAUCAUAUUCCACAACUUAUAAUUGAGCAUGAACCACAUAAUGGCGCAUUACAAUAUGCAUGAGAAAUCCACCUGUGAAAGAUCGUGAGGCGUAUAGUCUCUUUGUACACACUUGUUGCAUAAAAUCUUAAUAUAAACCCACUAAAUGGAAAAAAAGUCAUUUUGGAUUAACUUGACGGGCAAUCUUGCCUACUCUUAUAUGCAGACUCAUACAUGUGAACUCAUAGAAGAAGAUUUAUGGAUACAACGGCUUAUACAUGCGAAUUCAUAGAAGAGAAUUCACAAUAUGGCGAACUCAAACAUGCAUACUCGUAUAGAAAUAUUCAUGAAUAUAGCAGUCCAUUCAUGUGAAUUCAUAAAAGAAACUUCAUAGAUAAAGAAAAUUUAAACAUGUGGAUUCAGAGAACUUCACAAUCAUAGUGAAUUCGUACAAGCAGACUUUUUCGCAGAGUUCCUUUGGCAAAAUCUAACAUAUAAUUUUAACUUAAAACUUAUCAAUUAAAUCCGCCAGACUUUCGUAACUUUUAUAUGCCAUGGCCAUGGACUUGUUUACACAUGUGAGGCUUAAAAGCAUUUGACUCCACAGAGUCUCAUACGUACAUAGAACCCAGAUUAGGUUAUCAAAUUCAUUUGUACAUAUAUCUUCGUACAAUCCAUCCAAACCUCUGCAAAGCCGAAAACCAUACAUAUACAUUCUUCGUACUAUCCACCCGAACCUCCGCAAAGCCAGAUAACAAGUGGCACAAAGUGCACAGUGUGAUAUUUCCACCUUUCAUCUGCCAAAACAAACCUCCACACUUCGCAUGUCAUUCAUAAUUAUGAUAGGCAUAUAGCAAGCAUUCAACUAAUCAUUUUAUUGAAAACACAACAUAUCAUACCAAACAUAACAUCUAGUAGACCAUAACAAUGAUAACUUCAUCAAUAAUUAUUUUUCCCAGUGAAAGUUUAUCAAACAAUGAACUGAAAAGUGUAAUCGAACAUGCAACCAUAAAAAAAAUACUCUAUAUAAACUAUCCACGAUAAUACAACUCAUCAUCAACAGAACAUGAAGUCAACCACAACAUGAAAACACAAUACUACUAUAUAUAUAUAUAUAUAUAUAUAACAACCACAGAGAGUUAUGAGUUUAGAAACUCACCAACAAAAUACCUAGGUUGACACAACUUACACUUGCUUAGCCUUCCCUUUAUCACUUGAACUUCCUCUUUCUUGGUUGGCAGAUUACUAAGUUCUCAAGUAUUUAUGCUAACACCUUAGAUUUUUCCUUUCAUGGAACUUGUUUCUUAGUUUUCCUCUCUUACAGGAUGAACCAGAGAAGAAGAUGAUAGAAGAACGAGAGAAAAAUGAAUAUCAACAUUAAGAAUCCUUCUUAUAUAUAGUCUUUCCACCACCACUUCCCUUAAUCCUAAGUCGGUCAGUAUUAUUAAUACCUUUAAUCAUAAUGUUUUCCACUAACAUAAGCUCUUAGUUCUAACUUGACAGGACUAAAUUUAAAAUCUAACUAUUUACCCAACCAGCCUGUAAGAUUCACAUAAUUACACUAGAACCCGCUUAAAUAGAAAAUUUUCUAAUUAAGUACUCAUAAUUUCAAUUAUGCCAAACCUUUAAUAUUUAUGGGUGUGACAAUUGUACUAAGUUGGAUAAGAUCAGUUGGACCAGGAAUCGGUCGGGGUUUCGAUAAAGUAAAAGCUAAAAAAAUUAGUUGAUCUGUGAACCAUUAUAGAUUGGUUGAGUUGGGCUAAAAAACUAGUUGAAUUAGCAAUUGAAUCGAUUUUUUUUAAAUUUUAUAUCUUUUUUAUAAUUUAUUUACUUUUAAUCAGUUAGACCGAUUAUUUUGGGAACCGAUUGGUCAAACUAGUUCGAAAUCAGUUCAAUUGUCAGUUCAAUUGAUUUUUUUUAGCUCAGUUUAACUAGUUUGUAUCAGUUAACAAGUCAACUGAUUUUUUACCUCUCACCGAAUCAAUACCCCAAUUAGUUUGAGGUCCAAUUGGUUUGAUUGGUUGAUCUGGUCUAGUUUAGGUAACAUUGAAUUUUAGAUUUUUUAUAUUUUAAAAUAAUUUUUUAAUUUUAUAGAUUUAUUAUUUUUAAAUAUAUAUAUAAUUUUUAAAUUUUUAUGGUUUUUUUAAAUGUGAAACAAUAAUUUUUAAAUUUUUUAUGUAAAUUUAAAUGGUAAGGACCAAAUUGACAAAAAUUAUAAAUAUUGAGGGCUAAAAUUAUUAGUUUACCUUUAACAUCAUUAACUUUAAUGAAAAAUUUAGACGAAGGGGGCAAGAUUUUUAAAUAAAAAAAAGUUUAGGAACUCAAUUUCUCAAAAUUAAAGUAUAGGUACUAAACUUUAAAUUUCAAAAGAGUACUUGGACCUUUUACAUAUUUAAACCUAAAAUGAUUUUUGCAAUAAAUUGAAAAAUAUAAAAGUAUUAAAUAAUGGUUUGGUUGAAGAGGUAAAGGAAAAAAAUAGAUAUUGGUGGCAUGGGUUCAAAUAUUAACAUUUGCAACUUUUUUAUUAGUUUUUUUAAAUAAGAAAAAGAAAAAAGUACCAUCAUAAUAAUAUAACUUAUUUAAAAUAUUAGUGUCUAGUUAUUUUUUUAGUAUUUUUUUUACUAAAUUAGUGUCUAGUUAACUUGUUAUACCAACUCGAUUAGUAUCAACUAGUGUUGUUUGAAUCGGGCCAGACCGACAGGGAGACCUGUUUAGAAAGUGCUUUGAACUGGUUAGACCGAGAACCAAUAUAAAUCGGUUGAACCGGCUAAAAAAGUGGUUGAACCGACGGUUGGUCUGGUAGGUUUGACCACGGAUCAGGGUUAAAAAACAUUGAUACCGAUAUUGUUGUCAAAGCAUGAAUACCUUAAUUCGAGUGUGUUGAUUAAAAGUUAGAAAGGGAAUAUAAAUACUUUACCUAUGUUUCUUUAGCUUCUUAUUUGUCUCUUUAUUUCAUACAAGGUUGGUUUUGGGAGGGGCAUUAGAGAAUUAUAUAAAGAUUGAAGUCAAUUAAAGGGAACAAACAGUGCAAACCAAACUAGUAAUUAACAGAGGGAAAAACAAAAUUACAUCUUUCCCACAACAGAUCUCAUAUGGUUUGGCCAAUAAAAGACCCGACAGGAUUCAAGGUUUAAUAGUAAAAGAAGCCAUUUAUUAACCCGAAGUUAAAAGAAGCAGGCAAGGUGGAAUUUCUAAAUAUAAGCUUCAAUGAUAGAUUGAACAGCAUGAAUGGGUUUUACAUUGAUUCUGGUGAAUCCAGCCUCUCCAAGAACAUACUUCCAUUCCUUUAAGGUCCUUUCUUUGCCUUUGUUAGUAUGUGCCAUCAUCACCAUGUCUAACAUCAACCCCACAAAUUCUAGCUUGUCAUUUUCAUCUUCUUCAAGCACAGAUUCAACAAUUAUGACCUUCCCUUUGUCUUGUGGGAUGGCUUCUCUAC